rnacentral:rRNA from 1 species
GUUUUCAUUAAUCAAGAACGAAAGUUAGGGGAUCGAAGACGAUCAGAUACCGUCGUAGUCUUAACCAUAAACGAUGCCGACCAGCGAUUAGGAGACGUUGAAUACAAAACACCACCAUCGGCGCGGUCGUCCUUGGCGUCUGUCCCUUUCAACGGGGGCAGGCGCGAGGGCGGUUUAGCCCGGUGGCACCGGUGAAUGACUCCCCUAGCAGCUUGUGAGAA